GAUGAACGCUGGCGGCGUGCCUAAUACAUGCAAGUCGAGCGAACGGACGAGAAGCUUGCUUCUCUGAUGUUAGCGGCGGACGGGUGAGUAACACGUGGAUAACCUACCUAUAAGACUGGGAUAACUUCGGGAAACCGGAGCUAAUACCGGAUAAUAUUUUGAACCGCAUGGUUCAAAAGUGAAAGACGGUCUUGCUGUCACUUAUAGAUGGAUCCGCGCUGCAUUAGCUAGUUGGUAAGGUAACGGCUUACCAAGGCAACGAUGCAUAGCCGACCUGAGAGGGUGAUCGGCCACACUGGAACUGAGACGCGGUCCAGACUCCUACGGGAGGCAGCAGUAGGGAAUCUUCCGCAAUGGGCGAAAGCCUGACGGAGCAACGCCGCGUGAGUGAUGAAGGUCUUCGGAUCGUAAAACUCUGUUAUUAGGGAAGAACAUAUGUGUAAGUAACUGUGCACAUCUUGACGGUACCUAAUCAGAAAGCCACGGCUAACUACAUGCCAGCAGCCGCGGUAAUACGUAGGUGGCAAGCGUUAUCCGGAAUUAUUGGGCGUAAAGCGCGCGUAGGCGGUUUUUUAAGUCUGAUGUGAAAGCCCACGGCUCAACCGUGGAGGGUCAUUGGAAACUGGAAAACUUGAGUGCAGAAGAGGAAAGUGGAAUUCCAUGUGUAGCGGUGAAAUGCGCAGAGAUAUGGAGGAACACCAGUGGCGAAGGCGACUUUCUGGUCUGUAACUGACGCUGAUGUGCGAAAGCGUGGGGAUCAAACAGGAUUAGAUACCCUGGUAGUCCACGCCGUAAACGAUGAGUGCUAAGUGUUAGGGGGUUUCCGCCCCUUAGUGCUGCAGCUAACGCAUUAAGCACUCCGCCUGGGGAGUACGACCGCAAGGUUGAAACUCAAAGGAAUUGACGGGGACCCGCACAAGCGGUGGAGCAUGUGGUUUAAUUCGAAGCAACGCGAAGAACCUUACCAAAUCUUGACAUCCUUUGACAACUCUAGAGAUAGAGCCUUCCCCUUCGGGGGACAAAGUGACAGGUGGUGCAUGGUUGUCGUCAGCUCGUGUCGUGAGAUGUUGGGUUAAGUCCCGCAACGAGCGCAACCCUUAAGCUUAGUUGCCAUCAUUAAGUUGGGCACUCUAAGUUGACUGCCGGUGACAAACCGGAGGAAGGUGGGGAUGACGUCAAAUCAUCAUGCCCCUUAUGAUUUGGGCUACACACGUGCUACAAUGGACAAUACAAAGGGCAGCGAAACCGCGAGGUCAAGCAAAUCCCAUAAAGUUGUUCUCAGUUCGGAUUGUAGUCUGCAACUCGACUACAUGAAGCUGGAAUCGCUAGUAAUCGUAGAUCAGCAUGCUACGGUGAAUACGUUCCCGGGUCU
rnacentral:rRNA from 1 species